rnacentral:lncRNA from 1 species
ACUGAAAGCUUAAUUUUGUAUGAUUUUCACAGGAGCAAAGUGUGUCCACUCCCUCCUGGACCCCGGCCCUGAGCCCCCAGACGGCCCAUCUGGACUGCCCUCAGGGGAGCGGCCCUGGACAUCAGACCACAGGCAGCUCCCCUGAUGGGCCGGCCGGGCCGUGGGUCACACUCUGCUGGCACGUUCCAGCCCAAGGGCCAGGACGGCCCUGUGCAGGCUGGGUGGGCUCAGCCCUGGGGGGACACAGUCCCGACCUCCUGAGGACCCUGGGAGCAGGGGGUCGGUCACCAGCUGGGGAAGAGGCCACGGCUGCCCAGGCUCCCUGUGUGAGAGGUCGGCCUCGGCUCCCCGGGGCUCAUGUAGAGCUGUGCUCGCGCCUCAGAACUACGGGGCCUGGGCUGGCGGAGGUGGGGGGUGCCGCACAAAGGCUUUGGGACCAGAAGGCAGACCCAGGGCCCUCCUGACUCAGGACGCCUGCCGGGCCCCUGGAGAGUAGGGAGAGUCUGUGUGCGCAGGGAAGCCCCUCGUGCCCCCCACUGCCCCCAAGAUCUUCCCGGGGGAGGGAGGAGGGGGUGUGGGCGCUGACGCAGUGAUGGGGUCCAGCCUCAGCUGAGGGUCAUCCCAGGAGCCGUGGGCCUGGGAUCGCCCAGCCCUAACUGGGGGCAGCGGUCAGGCCCCUGGAGCCAGCCCCUCGGGCCCACCCCCGGCCUGGAUGGCGUCCUCCUAUGAGCCCUGGCACGGAGUGCCCCCCCGGGAUGGGCAUGGUGGGGAAGCCGGAGGUGCUGGUCCUGCCCGUGCGAGGCGGCUGCCGGAACCGGAGCUCAGCCUUUGCUCCCCUGUCCUUGAAUGGGCCGCAGACACUUGUGUCUGCUCUGUUACCGUCGCUCAGAGCAGGAUGGCGAGGCUAGAUGGGCGCAGAGCGCGAAGCAGAGCCAUCUCUGCUGAGGCCACAUCCCACCGCAGCCGCGUCUCCCAUCCCUUGAACCACCGCUCAGGCCUGGGGCCUCGCGCUGUCUGUCGUGGUGCCAGCGGAUCUGAUCAGUGGAUCUUCCUUUCCUUCUGGAGCCUGGAUGUGGCAACGAAACGGCUCUGCCCGCAUCGGGGCUGCCGGAAACCUCAGAACAGGGCUGAGGCACAGCGCCCGCCUGCACGUCGGCCCUGCCACCUGGCACCGCCUCCCUGGCCCCCUUGAGUGACUGAUCCAGAGCCUCUGGUCCUCGUCCCCUCCCUGCACCCUGGGAACACCCUGUAUUACACCCCGGGGGCCUUGUCAACAGUCAGGCCACCUGCCCUCGGGCCUGGGGGUCCAUGACGUCACGUCCUGUCCUGACCACCACGUGUCAACCGCCCUUCCUGGGUACGAGGAAUGCGGGAUGUGGGUGUGUUUGCUGGGCCACAGCCUGGACAAGAAGUUCCCCCACAUGCUGACCAGUCCACCAACUGACCAGUCAAACCUCGGAGAGACGGCCGACUUCCCGGGGGCCAGCCGUCCUGCUGAGUUGCUGUGUGACCUCGGGACCCACGCUGUGAAUCUUGAGCACACGCGGGCUCAGCAGGGAGGACAUUCACGCUCCAGAGCCAGCAGCAGCCGCCAGAGGUCCUGGGCUGAUCCGGAACCUGCCUGGGGUGUGACUCCUGAGAGACAACGCGUUCAGCACGCCCCUCCAGCUCCUGACACAGCCCAAAGCCCGCACCACAGAGGCCGGUGUCCUGCUGCCCCCACGGGACCAGGCUCCCCUUCCCCACCCCGAGACUUGCAGGAAGUCCUUUGUCGACUUCUUCCGAGUCUCCUGGGAACAAGAGAAAACGCAACGUUUCAGCGAUUUGAAGACAGAGGCUCCACCGCGAGCCCGGGUUCUAGAGGAUCCAGCUCUAAACCCACGGAGACGAUGAACUCAAGUCCCGGGACCGAGACAGCAUCUCGGCUCAUUCUGGGCACUGGGGGGUGGUGGGUGCAGCCUCUCUGCAGACCCCCGGCCUCUCUCUGUGGGCCCUGGGGGCUCGGGGGCUCCUCUUGGCCCCGAGGGGUGACAGCGUGGAGCAGGGUGGCGGGGUGUGUGUCAGGGGGAGAAAAGAGAUGCUGACGCUGAAUCCUCCUGGGCAGGAAAAGCAACCUGGGGAGAUGCCAAGGCCUUUCCAGGGGGAACUCCUGCAUCUCCCAGAGGUGCGGGGGCCGUGCCCUGCUCACCUCUCCAGGGACUUGGGAAGGACGGCCUGUGUCCCACCGACACAGCCCCCAAGGGCACUGGGGCCUCCCUGGUCUGCUCAGCCCCUGUGCAGGGGGCCAGGGGCAGCUCAGGGGAGGGGACGUUCCCGGCACACACCAGAUAUCCAGUCAGUGGGGCCACACUGGCUUCGGUCAGCACCGGCCGUGCGAGGCCCCCAGAGCCCGGGGACGGCUCCCCACAGCAGCGCCAGGCAGAGAAUGCCCAAAAAAGACCAGCAAAGCCAUUAGGCCUGAAGCACCUUCCAGCUUUCCAAAAAAAAAAAAAAAAAAAAAGGCAGGAACUUUUUCUCCAGGCCAAGGAGAGAUUCGCUCAGGACAAAUGCAGGGCGACGAUCAUUUAUCAUCAGGAGCCUGGAGGGUGCAGGCAGCCCCGUCCCGGCCGCUCGCCUCAAGGUCGGAAGCUUCUGCUUUCCCUCAUUAUUUCUAUUUUUAACAAUUGCGUUCAGUCCUCUUACAAAAAUAGCGAGAGGUGAGAACAUUUCAAGCGCUAACAUGCCCCCUUUGUCAGAAAACUGCAGGGAUGCGGGAAAAACCGGCCAGGACACGGGGGCCGUGGUCGAGUCCUCCACCACCAGAGCCGAAAUGCCCUGUGAUGCUCUGAUCCACCGUCACUGCACAAGGGGCUGCGCAUCAGCCCUGAUUCAGGAUUCUGAGUGGACCUCGGGGCCGGGGGCCGGCUCAGCCCCACCUGACAGUGAGCAUAGUCAGUCGGGCCUGUGCGUCUGGAAAGUUGAACUCUUCCUGCCGCCCCCUGCGUCCACACUCUGCUCCUCUUUCCCACGUCCACCUAAAAUGCACGGUCCAGCUCCAGGCCAGAGCCAGGAUGCUGGGCCUCGUAAAAGAGACAGGAGGAGACGCAGCCAUGAGGCGGCCGCGUGGCAGCCCUGCCACCCCAGACCAAGUGACGCCAACGCCCCGGCUACAUGGUGGUGACCAGGCACCGGGCACGCACCUCGAGCGAAUUCUAAAAUGUUCCAGAAGCCAGGGACGGCCUGUGUCAGUUCCCCGUCGCUGCCGCACCGGUGGCCCCAGGAUCCAGCGCUGGACACGGCAGCAUCGGCUUCUGCUUCCCGUGGGUCAGGUGGGUGGCGUGGCGGUGUCCUCGGCCUCACGCCUCUUGUGGCUCAGCCACUUCCCAGCUCACUGGCCUGCUGGUCGCUGGAGGUGACUCCAGGGCACACGGGCCUCGUCAGGAGGGAGACGGCGGCCACAGCCCCACCCCCGCCUCCACCCGCCCUGUCAGCUUCUGUCAGGAGCAAGUCCUGGGUCCCCGCCACACCCGCGGCUUGUGUCCUGGGGGAGGAGGCGAGAAAAUGGAGGAGGGGAUGUGGGGAGGGGACCCAUCUACCCCGGGGCCACCCGUCUCUGCGUCCUGAGGAAGCUGCCGAGGUCGGCCCAGCAGGUCUGCAGGGCCAUCGAAAACCAAGGCCCUGGGGUGGCUCAGCCAUGUUGACCCCAGGACAUGGCCAACAGAAGAGACAAACAGAGACACAGUCGCCAUGGCAGGGUCCCGUAGCCCAGCGUCCAGGAUGGAGGUGGGUGAGGCUGCAAGUGACUCAUGGAGCUUUCAGACGACUCCAGUCCUGAGGACACAGCCGAGGGCAUGGGAACCGCGGGAACGUCCACCUUGUAGGAAAACGGCAGAGGACACGUCAGAGACGGAACGGCGGGAGCAUCUCAGAUUUCUCUUCAACGGAAGGAUUCGGGCUUUGCUGACGGAGGAGGUGGAGGGAGGUCCUGGCAGGGGUCCCGCUGGAGAGCGGGCACAGCAGGCAUCAGGAGGGAAACUGAGGGACGGGGGUGGAACCACGAG